rnacentral:rRNA from 1 species
CCUACGGGUGGCUGCAGUGAGGAAUUUUCCGCAAUGGGCGAAAGCCUGACGGAGCAAUACCGCGUGAGGGAGGAAGGUUCUUGGAUUGUAAACCUCUUUUCUCAGAGAAGAAUAAUGACGGUAUCUGAGGAAUAAGCAUCGGCUAACUCCGUGCCAGCAGCCGCGGUAAUACGGAGGAUGCAAGCGUUAUCCGGAAUGAUUGGGCGUAAAGGGUCUGUAGGUGGUUGUUCAAGUCUGCUGUUAAAGCGUCUGGCUUAACUAGAUAAAGGCAGUGG